GUGGGGAAUAUUGGACAAUGGGGGGAACCCUGAUCCAGCCAUGCCGCGUGUGUGAAGAAGGCCUUUUGGUUGUAAAGCACUUUAAGCGAGGAGGAGGCUACCGAGAUUAAUACUCUUGGAUAGUGGACGUUACUCGCAGAAUAAGCACCGGCUAACUCUGUGCCAGCAGCCGCGGUAAUACAGAGGGUGCAAGCGUUAAUCGGAUUUACUGGGCGUAAAGCGCGCGUAGGUGGCCAAUUAAGUCAAAUGUGAAAUCCCCGAGCUUAACUUGGGAAUUGCAUUCGAGACUGGUUGGCUAGAGGAUGGGAGAGGAUGGUAGAAUUCCAGGUGUAGCGGUGAAAUGCGUAGAGAUCUGGAGGAAUACCGAUGGCGAAGGCAGCCAUCUGGCCUAAUACUGACACUGAGGUGCGAAAGCAUGGGGAGCAAACAGGAUUAGAAACCCCGGUAGUCC
rnacentral:rRNA from 1 species